rnacentral:tRNA from 1 species
GCACGUAGAGGCACGAAAGCACCGGACUUCUCAUCCGAUGGCCGCAGGUUCGAAUCCUGCCGGGUGCGCCA